AGGGAGUUUCGAUCUUGAUAGUUGAUACCGAUACCUUUAGCAAUAAAUCUGAGUGUAGUAUUUGUUGUUGUAUUGAUCUUUUUUUUUUUUUUUUUGAAAGAGAGCUAUAACUGUUACCUAGAACAGAAGGCAUACUACUCCAAAUUGGCUUAAGUAUGGAUAUAUAUUUAGCAAUCAUUAAGUAAUACAACUACAGUAUUAUAAUUAGAGAAAGUUACAUAGAGACACCGUUUAUGUAUCUUUCGUUUCAGUUUAACACCCUUUGGGUUUGUGGCACCGUUUUUUGCUCUCUUUUGUACUGUACAUAUUAAUUUCUGACAAAAACAACCUUAGUUAAGUUUUUGAAAGCUUAUCAGAAACAAUUAUAAAGCUUUAACUUUCAACCAUACGUUAGUAACUAAAUAUUUGAGAAUCUUGUGGCUAGGAAUAAUCCUAAGAUUAAUAUGAGAAAUGAACAAUUAGAGUCAUUUUCUUUUUCUCUCUCUCUCACUGUCUCGCUUUUUCUCUUUCACCCUCUACCUUUUUCUCUCCCUCUCUCUCUCUCUCAAACCAAAACUGAGAGGUAUGUGUUGUUUCUCUAGAUCUGAAGUUGUUUAUCUUUCAUCUUCUUCUUUCAUCUUCUUCUUUCAUUUUCUCCAUUUUUAUCUGGAGCAAAAAUAUCUACUCUGGCCACCAAAAAAAUAUAUAUAUCUCCUCUGUUUCUUAGCCGGUCGGCUUCACAUGCGACGGUCAUGAUUCCUGCAUCAUAAAAAUCAAAACAUUAGAGUUCAAUUUCAAUCAUUUUUGAGAGAGUCGAUACAAAUUAAAUCUUGUGUAAAAUCAAUUUCUCCAUACGUCGUUUUGUUCUCUUUGGGGGAAACGGAAUCUAAUACCUCAAAACAAGAUUGUGAUGUGAUUUGGUGGGUGCGAUGCGGUGGCAACAGUUCGAUGGUUACGAUGUGGUGGAUGUGAUGUAGCUGAUGUGAAAACUAAUGAUAAAGAUCAUGGAUGGCCAUCAGUUAGAAUGUUUGUGUUGUAGUUUUUUAAUGUAAGGCUUUCAUGUGUUCAUAUUCCCUUGAAUGGUUAAUGUUUUUUUCCUUAAAACAAUAUUUGUUCAAGUAUCUAUGGAUAUUGUAUAGUGAACUAAAGAUUGUUCAAGUAUCUAUGGAUAUGUUAAUCUUGACCAUGUGUUCGGGGAAAGAUUGUUUGGUAUA